CUUCAGGGAGCCGAGCCAGAGGGGUCGGCCGUCGGGGCGGUUCUGGCCGUAGGUGGCGAGGAGGGCCUGGGCCUC
rnacentral:antisense_RNA from 1 species